rnacentral:rRNA from 1 species
CCUACGGGAGGCAGCAGUGAGGAAUAUUGGUCAAUGGGCGAGAGCCUGAACCAGCCAAGUCGCGUGAGGGAUGACGGUCCUAUGGAUUGUAAACCUCUUUUGCCGGGGAGCAAAAAGCGGUACGUGUACCGCAUCGAGAGUACCCGGAGAAAAAGCAUCGGCUAACUCCGUGCCAGCAGCCGCGGUAAUAUGGAGGAUGCGAGCGUUAUCCGGAUUUAUUGGGUUUAAAGGGUGCGCAGGCGGCGCGUUAAGUCAGCGGUAAAAUUUCGGGGCUCAACCCCGACAAGACGUUGAAACUGGCAGCAUGGAGUGGGAGAGAGGGAUGCGGAAGGAGAGGGGGAGUGGUGAAAUGCAUAGAUAUCACGCAGAAC